GACGAACGCUGGCGGCGUGCCUAAUACAUGCAAGUCGAACGCAGUGGGGACGGGUGAGUAACACGUGGGUAACCUCCCAUCAGAGGGGAUAACACUUGGAAACAGGUGCUAAACCGAUACUGAUGGAUGAACCCGCGGUGAAUUAGCUAGUUGGGGAGUGAACGGCGCACCAAGGACACGCAGCAUAGCCGACCUGAAAGGGUGACGGGCCACACUGGGACUGAUACACGGCCCAGAGUCCCACGGGAGGCAGCAGUAGGGAAUCUGCGGCAAUGGACGAAAGGCUGACCGAGCCACGCCGCGUGAGUGAAGAAGGUUUUCGGAUCGUAAAACUCUGUUGUUAGAGAAGCGGUAUCUAACCAGAAAGCCACGGCUAACUACGUGCCAGCAGCCGCGGUAAUAC
rnacentral:rRNA from 1 species